rnacentral:rRNA from 1 species
UACGAAGGGGGCUAGCGUUGUUCGGAUUUACUGGGCGUAAAGCGCACGUAGGCGGAUCGAUCAGUCAGGGGGUGAAAUCCCAGAGCUCAACUCUGGAACUGCCUUUGAUACUGUCGAUCUGGAGUAUGGAAGAGGUGAGUGGAAUUCCGAGUGUAGAGGUGAAAUUCGUAGAUAUUCGGAGGAACACCAGUGGCGAAGGCGGCUCUCUGGACCACAACUGACGCUGGAGGUGCGAAAGCGUGGGGAGCAAACAGG